rnacentral:rRNA from 1 species
GGUUAAGUGACUAAGCGUACACGGUGGAUGCCUAGGCAGUCAGAGGCGAUGAAGGGCGUGCUAAUCUGCGAAAAGCGUCGGUAAGGUGAUAUGAACCGUUAUAACCGGCGAUACCCGAAUGGGGAAACCCAGUGUGUUUCGACACACUAUCAUGUCAUGAAUACAUAGUGGCAUGAGGCGAACCGGGGGAACUGAAACAUCUAAGUACCCCGAGGAAAAGAAAUCAACCGAGAUUCCCCCAGUAGCGGCGAGCGAACGGGGAGGAGCCCAGAACCUGAAUCGGCUUGUGUGUUAGUGGAAGCGUCUGGAAAGUCGCGCAGCAAAGGGUGAUAGCCCCGUACACUAAAAUGCACAGGUCGUGAGUUCGAUGAGUAGGGCGGGACACGUGACAUCCUGUCUGAAUAUGGGGGGACCAUCCUCCAAGGCUAAAUACUCCUGACUGACCGAUAGUGAACCAGUACCGUGAGGGAAAGGCGAAAAGAACCCCGGCGAGGGGAGUGAAAUAGAACCUGAAACCGUGUACGUACAAGCAGUGGGAGCACCUUCGUGGUGUGACUGCGUACCUUUUGUAUAAUGGGUCAGCGACUUAUAUUUUGUAGCAAGGUUAACCGUAUAGGGGAGCCGUAGGGAAACCGAGUCUUAACUGGGCGACUAGUUGCAAGGUAUAGACCCGAAACCCGGUGAUCUAGCCAUGGGCAGGUUGAAGGUUGGGUAACACUAACUGGAGGACCGAACCGACUAAUGUUGAAAAAUUAGCGGAUGACUUGUGGCUGGGGGUGAAAGGCCAAUCAAACCGGGAGAUAGCUGGUUCUCCCCGAAAGCUAUUUAGGUAGCGCCUCGUGAACUCAUCUUCGGGGGUAGAGCACUGUUUCGGCUAGGGGGCCAUCCCGGCUUACCAAACCGAUGCAAACUCCGAAUACCGAAGAAUGUUAUCACGGGAGACACACGGCGGGUGCUAACGUCCGUCGUGAAGAGGGANNNNNNNNNNNNNNNNNNNNNNNNNNNNNNNNNNNNNNNNNNNNNNNNNNGACGCCAGUCUGCGUGGAGCCAUCCUUGAAAUACCACCCUUUAAUGUUUGAUGUUCUAACUCGGCCCCAUAAUCUGGGGUGAGGACAGUGUCUGGUGGGUAGUUUGACUGGGGCGGUCUCCUCCCAAAGAGUAACGGAGGAGCACGAAGGUUAGCUAAUCACGGUCGGACAUCGUGAGGUUAGUGCAAAGGCAUAAGCUAGCUUGACUGCGAGAGUGACGGCUCGAGCAGGUACGAAAGUAGGUCUUAGUGAUCCGGUGGUUCUGAAUGGAAGGGCCAUCGCUCAACGGAUAAAAGGUACUCCGGGGAUAACAGGCUGAUACCGCCCAAGAGUUCAUAUCGACGGCGGUGUUUGGCACCUCGAUGUCGGCUCAUCACAUCCUGGGGCUGAAGUAGGUCCCAAGGGUAUGGCUGUUCGCCAUUUAAAGUGGUACGCGAGCUGGGUUUAGAACGUCGUGAGACAGUUCGGUCCCUAUCUGCCGUGGGCGUUGGAAGAUUGAGAGGGGUUGCUCCUAGUACGAGAGGACCGGAGUGAACGCACCACUGGUGUUCGGGUUGUCAUGCCAAUGGCAUUGCCCGGUAGCUAAGUGCGGAAAAGAUAAGCGCUGAAAGCAUCUAAGCGCGAAACUUGCCUCAAGAUGAGUCUUCCCUGGGCCUUUAAGGCCCCUGAAGGAACGUUUAAGACUAAGACGUUGAUAGGCUGGGUGUGUAAGUGCAGCGAUGCAUUGAGCUAACCAGUACUAAUGAUCCGUGAGGCUUAACCUU